CUGCAGAUAAAAGCCUUCAAACCAACAGCAGCGUCUCUAAAACAGGCUGUUCUUCAUCCACUCCGGUCUUCUCUGUUCCUUUGAGUUGUGGUUCUGUGCAGGACGUGGUCAUGGCUGCAGAAGUGAAGCAGACCUGCUACGAGGGCAGCUGCGUCCAGAGCUUCCAGUUCUACUUGGAACAUUCAGGAGAACACCAGGCCAUUGUGCAGUUCGCUCAUGACAUCCUGCCCGGAGAAUUAAAAAGAAUUGGAGCAGGUAAAAGCAGCCUGGAUGUACUGGGAGUGGGCAGUGGAGGAGGGCAGGUGGACGUGCAGAUGCUCACCCUCCUGCAGUCGGCCUUCCCUUCUGUUCCUGUUACUGCAGACAUCGUGGAGGGCAGCGGUCCACUCACAGACGGAUUCAAAGCACUGAUCGCCAAAACCCCCAACCUUCAGAAGAUCCCAUUUUCUUUCCAUAUCAUGAAAAGUGAAGAGUAUGAGACUCAAGUGAAAGCAAAAGGAGACGCGAAGAAGUUCGACUUCAUUCACAUGAUUCAGAUGAUCUACUAUGUGGAGGACCUUGCUGGAUCCAUUAAGUUCUUCCACAGCCUUUUGAAGGCCAACGGCAGGUUGAUGAUCAUCGUCGAAGCAGCCAACGGAGGCUGGGACAUCCUGUGGAAGACGUACGCCAAAGAGCUGUGCACCGGCGCCAUCACAGAUUACCGCUCAUCAGCACAGGUUGUGGAGUGUGUGAAGAGUCUGGGCCUAAAAUACGAGGAACACGUCAUCUCCCACAGCUUCGACAUCUCUGAAUGUUUCAGUCCCAGCAGCGACACCGGAGCUCGGCUGCUGAACUUCAUGACGGCGCAGGAGAACUUCCAACAGUCGUUCAGCCCAGAGGUUAGAGCAGGAAUAUUAGAGCUCCUGAAGAACAAGUGCAGCGUUCAAAAAGAUGACAAGAUUCUGUUCAACGGCAGCCUGGUCGCUAUACUCAUUCAUGCCUGAGCAAGUGUCUGGAAAAUAUGAGCAUGAAUUCAAUGUUUUCUUCUUUCAUUCAAUCAAAAGCACAGUUUUACAGAUGCAAAGCUUACGUCACAGAUAUGUGAUACAUGUAUGUCUUUAAACCAUUUAACAGAGCAGUUCACUGUAAGUUUAAUACAAUAAAAUCAGUUCCUAUCAGAUUCAAAUUAAUCACAGAUGGUUCCUGACUUACUAAACUUACCCAAACCCUGAGUCCACAGAACGUUUAAUGGAUUUUAUGGACCUUUUUUCAAACGUGUGCAGCUAUGGCCUUACCUUCAACACUGCAGAGAUGAAUAUGAAGCACUUUAUAUUUUAGCGACCAAAAUACUGAAAUGAUACAAAGGAGAUUUUCAGUAAUAAAUGACCAAAAUUUUUUUUUAUUUUUUUUUUUUACAAAAUGACAUAUUUCCAAGUCUAAUCCCAUGACACAUUUAUUUGGCUUCCAUCUCCCAAAAGUACACUCACACAUUUGGGUUCAGAACUUUCAUCACAGAGUUUGACAAACACCAGAUCAGUUCAGUAGAACAGACAGGAGCAGGUUAGACCCAGUCCCAGUCCUAGUCCUGGUCCCGGUCCUAGUCCUUGUCCUGGUCCCGGUCCCAGUCCUAGUCCCGGUCCCAGUCCCGGUCCCAGUCCCAGUUCUAGUCCUGGUCCCAGUCCUAGUCCCGGUCCCAGUCCUAGUCCCGGUCCCAGUCCUAGUCCCGGUCCCGGUCCUAGUCCUGGUCCCAGUCCCAGUCCUAGUCCUAGUCCUGGUCCCGGUCCCAGUCCUAGUCCUGGUCCCAGUCCCGGUCCCGGUCCUAGUCCCGGUCCUAGUCCCGGUCCUAGUCCUGGUCCCAGUCCCAGUCCUAGUCCUGGUCCCGGUCCCAGUCCUAGUCCUGGUCCCAGUCCCGGUCCCGGUCCUAGUCCCGGUCCCAGUCCCAGUCCCAGUCCCAGUCCUGCAUGGACAUGUGCAUCGCUCUGAGCCUCCUCAGGUUCAAAUAAAGCUGAAUUCACUUGUUUCUGAGCCUUGGUUUUUAUUUCUGUUUUUCUACUUCUGUACUCCACGGUGACAAACAGAUCUGUGGGUGAAUCUGAUUCAUUCUGUCUGUUAUUAUGAAACAGAACUAGUUUAGAGUCACAUUAACCCAGAAAGACCCAGGUUGACUUUUGUGUCGGUUCCCAAAUUAAUUUUUCUCUAUCCAACUAUUCCCAAAUGAUUUAUCACAGUUUUAUUCUAAUAU